AUGGAUGGAUGGAUGUCCAAACUGAUGCCUUCAGGCAGAAAACAAGAAGAGAAGCGCGAGAAGAAAGAGCGCCAAGAACGAGAGAAGCACGAGAAGAAAGAGCGCCAAGAACGAGAGAAGCACGAGAAGAAAGAGCGCAAAGAACGAGAGAAGCGCGAGAAGAAAGAGCGCCAAGAACAUGAGAAGCACGAGAAGAAAGAGCGCAAAGAACGUGAGAAGCGCGAGAAGAAAGGACAAACGGUGAAGCAGUUUAUUGUGAAAUCAGACGGCUUGAUCACUGGACUGGAAAAGGCCAACGGGACCGUCCUCACAAACGAAAAUGAAAAUCUCAGAAAGGCUGCCGAAGAACAUGUCCUGUGUUCUUUCAAGUGUGAGGAGCUGGCCAACGAGCUCUGCACUCUGAGAAGUGACCUAGAGAAGGCCAAAAAGACCAUCCAGGAGAAGGACAGUAAGAUCAGCCAACUGUCAGAGGACAGGUCCUCCUUACAAGAUCAGCUGAAACGUGAGCAGGAAUCAAGAGAAAGCACUGAGAAACACCUUGAUGAGCUCGAGAAACGUAACAGUGAAAUUCAAUCAGAGCUGGUUAGUAAGGAGAAUGUCAUCACUGACCUGUUUGCUGAAAACAAUCAUGUCUGCAACGAACUGGCCAAGAGCAAGGCCAAGUUCAGACAGUUGGAGGAGGGAGAGCUGGAAUUUGAGCAAACGCAGAAAAGUUUACAGCAGUCUCUGACUCUUCAGCAAAAAGAGGCUCUAGAGUUAAGGGUAAAGUGUGACCAGCUCAGAAAAGAAAAUGAAAACCUCAGAAAGGCUGCCGAAGAACAUGCCCAGUGUUCUUCCAAGUGUGAGGAGCUGGCCAACGAGGUCUGCACUCUGAGGAGUGACCUACAGAAGGCCAACAAGACCGUCCAGGAGAAGGACAGUAAGAUCAGCCAACUGUCAGAGGACAGGUCCUCCUUACAAGAUCAGCUGAAAUGUGAGCAGGAAGCAAAAGAACCAGAGGAGCUCAAGCAACAUGGCAGCGACCUGAUUGCUGAGAGCAAGGAUCCCUGCAACCAGCUGUCCAAGAGCAGGGACAAGUACAGACCGUUGGACCCCGAACAGCUGGUAGACAUCUUUCUGCCAAAAUGGGUAAAAUUACAGGAACCUCCAAAAAGAGAACGUGUUGCAGAGACACCAGAUAAGAGAUUGGACUGGCUGUUCCGCAUACACGAGCAGGGCACCCUAGACCCGGACAACCUAAGCGACCAGGAAUACGCAGACUACCAGCACAGCUGGGACUAC
rnacentral:lncRNA from 1 species